GUACAAUAAGCAAAAUAAGGGCGUAUGGGGGAUGCCUUGGCUCUCAGAGGCGAUGAAGGGCGUGAUAAGCUGCGAAAA
rnacentral:rRNA from 1 species